GCGGCUGUGGCGAAAUUGGUAAACGCGUAACGUUGAGGUCGUUAUGAGCUAAGCUCUUGGAAGUUCAAGUCUUCUCAGCCGCACCA
rnacentral:tRNA from 3 species